UACGUAGGGUGCAAGCGUUGUCCGGAAUUAUUGGGCGUAAAGAGCUCGUAGGCGGUUUGUUGCGUCGGCUGUGAAAUCCCCAGGCUCAACCUGGGAACUGCGUCUGAUACUGGAUGGCUUGAAUCCGGGAGAGGGAUGCAGAAUUCCAGGUGUAGCGGUGAAAUGCGUAGAUAUCUGGAGGAAUACCGGUGGCGAAGGCGGCAUCCUGGACCGGCAUUGACGCUGAGGAGCGAAAGCUAGGGGAGCAAACGGG
rnacentral:rRNA from 1 species